rnacentral:rRNA from 1 species
ACGGAAGGUGCAAGCGUUAGUCGGAUUUAUUGGGCGUAAAGGGUGCGUAGGCGGUACAGAAAGUUGGAUGUGAAAUUCCGGGGCUCAACCUCGGAGCGGCAUCCAAAACUCCUGUGCUUGAGGAAUGGCGGAGAAAACGGAAUUCCAUGUGUAGCGGUGAAAUGCGUAGAUAUAUGGAAGAACACCUGUGGCGAAAGCGGUUUUCUAGCCUCAACCUGACGCUAAUGCACGAAAGCAAGGGGAGCAAACAG